AAGAUUGAUGAUGAUGAGCUUCAAUCCUAUAUCCUUAAUGGGUUAGGUGCUGAUUACAAUCCAUAUGUUUCGUCGAUGUCUACAAAAGAUAACCUUACCUUGAGCGAUCUCUAUGCUCACCUCCUGUCAUACGAAG
rnacentral:snoRNA from 1 species